AGGAGGAGGUCCUGCAGGUGGUGCUGCAAGGGGUCGGCUGGCCGCAGGGGGACUGCACAGACACAGGCUGGCAGCAGGUGGGGUCUCAGCAGGAGGAGGUCCUGCAGGUGGUGCUGCAAGGGGUCGGCUGGCCGCAGGGAGGCCGGCAGCAGGGGGACUGCACAGACACAGGCUGGCAGCAGGUGGUGCUGCAAGGGGUCGGCUGGCCGCAGGGGGGCCGGCAGCAGGGGGACUGCACAGACACAGGCUGGCAGCAGGUGGUGGCCCAGCAGCAGGGCCUGCAC
rnacentral:lncRNA from 1 species